UACGUAGGGCGCGAGCGUUGUCCGGAAUUAUUGGGCGUAAAGAGCUCGUAGGCGGCCUUUCGCGUCGGUUGUGAAAGCCCGGGGCUCAACCCCGGGUCUGCAGUCGAUACGGGCAGGCUAGAGUUCGGUAGGGGAGAUCGGAAUUCCUGGUGUAGCGGUGAAAUGCGCAGAUAUCAGGAGGAACACCGGUGGCGAAGGCGGAUCUCUGGGCCGAUACUGACGCUGAGGAGCGAAAGCGUGGGGAGCGAACAGG
rnacentral:rRNA from 1 species